rnacentral:rRNA from 1 species
UACGUAGGGGGCAAGCGUUGUCCGGAUUUAUUGGGCGUAAAGAGCGUGUAGGCGGCCAGGUAGGUCUGCUGUGAAAACUCGAGGCUUAACCUCGAGAUGUCGGCGGAAACCAUCUGGCUAGAGUCCGGAAGAGGAGAAUGGAAUUCCCGGUGUAGCGGUGAAAUGCGCAGAUAUCGGGAAGAACACCCGUGGCGAAGGCGGUUCUCUGGGGCGGUACUGACGCUGAGACGCGAAAGCGUGGGGAGCGAACAGG